UACGAAGGGUGCAAACGUUGCUCGGAAUUAUUGGGCGUAAAGCGCACGUAGGCGGCUUUGCAAGUUCGAUGUGAAAUCCCUCGGCUCAACCAAGGAAGUGCAUCGAAAACUGCAGAGCUUGAGUAGUUAAGAGGAUCGCGGAAUUCCCGGUGUAGAGGUGAAAUUCGUAGAUAUCGGGAGGAACACCAGUGGCGAAGGCGGCGAUCUGGGAACAUACUGACGCUGAGGUGCGAAAGCGUGGGGAGCAAACGGG
rnacentral:rRNA from 1 species